rnacentral:rRNA from 2 species
CGGCAUCUUCGAGUUAUUAAAUAUUUAUAGGAUAGAGAUGGGCUCGCGUGACAUUAGCUAUUUGGUAGGGUAACGGCUUACCAAGGCGACUAUGUCUAGGGGCUCUGAGAGGAGAAUCCCCCACACUGGUACUGAGACACGGACCAGACUCCUACGGGAGGCAGCAGUAAGGAAUAUUGGUCAAUGGGCGGAAGCCUGAACCAGCCAUGCCGCGUGCAGGAAGACUGCCCUAUGGGUUGUAAACUGCUUUUGUCCAGGAAUAAACCUCUUUACGUGUAUCUAGCUGAAUGUACUGGAAGAAUAAGGAUCGGCUAACUCCGUGCCAGCAGCCGCGGUAAUACGGAGGAUCCGAGCGUUAUCCGGAUUUAUUGGGUUUAAAGGGUGCGUAUGCGGCCUAUUAAGUCAGGGGUGAAAUACGGUGGCUCAACCAUCGCAGUGCC